UUCACCUCGAGGUCACCAGUUCAAAUCCAGCUCAGGCUGGCAGAGCAGUUGGGUCUUUGGACAAAGACCCAGAUCACAAUGGAGAUGACAGCCUCAGUGGAGAACCAAAAGAUGCUGUCAGACACAGGGACCAAAGAGCCUCUACAGCAGCCCAGGCGUGUCCUUUUACUCAGUUAUGGUUUGCUGACCAUCGGCUGCGUGCGUGCCCGACACUGCAUGGGACACACAGGGAUGUAAAUCUUUUACAGUCUUCAGCUGCAGAACCUACCUCUUUGGCCCACGCUGUUCCAGCUCCUGCAUUUAGCACUGGUAUGCCUUGGUUCAGUUCCUGAUGGUAGCCAGCUCAAACACUUGAGGUCCCUGCAAUGGUGGAGAGAAAAUCCCUUCCUAAGCUCACAUGUGGGGCUUGGUGGAGUAUGAUGCGUGUGAGCCAGAGUCACUGGAGCUCAGCAGUUCUUCCUUGUUACCCCAAGGUAACGCCUGUCUCUUCCUCCGACCCUCCAGACCGAUGCUCAAAGGUGUGGGAACUGGGAGCUUAACUGCCAGAUGUGCCUUGGAAA